rnacentral:rRNA from 1 species
UACGAAGGGGGCUAGCGUUUGUUCGGAUUUACUGGGCGUAAAACGCACGUAGGCGGAUCGAUCAGUCAGGGGUGAAAUCCCAGGGCUCAACCCUGGAACUGCCUUUGAUACUGUCGAUCUGGAGUAUGGAAGAGGUGAGUGGAAUUCCGAGUGUAGAGGUGAAAUUCGUAGAUAUUCGGAGGAACACCAGUGGCGAAGGCGGCGACCUGGGCCAAUAUUGACGCUGAGGUGCGAAAGCGUGGGGAGCAAACAGGG